GACGAACGCUGGCGGCGUGCUUAACACAUGCAAGUCGAACGGAAGGGCCCCUUUGGGGGUACUCGAGUGGCGAACGGGUGCGUAACACGUGAGUAACCUGCCCUUGACUUCGGGAUAACUUCAGGAAACUGGGGCUAAUACCGGAUAGGAAUCCUUGCUGCAUGGUGGGGGUUGGAAAGCUUCGGCGGUUUUGGAUGGACUCGCGGCUUAUCGGCUUGUUGGUGGGGUAGUGGCUUACCAAGGCUUUUACGGGUAGCCGGCCUGAGAGGGCGACCGGCCACAUUGGGACUGAGAUAAGGCCCAGACUCCGACGGGAGGCAGCAGGGGGGAAUAUUGCACGAUGGGCGGAGGCCUGAUGCAGAAACGCCGCGGGCGGGAUGACGGCCUUCGGGUUGUAAACCGCAUUCAGCAGGGGCGAAGCUUGUGGUGACGGUACCUGCAGAAGAAGCACCGGCUAACUACGUG
rnacentral:rRNA from 1 species